rnacentral:rRNA from 1 species
AACGAACGCUGGCGGCAUGCCUAACACAUGCAAGUCGAACGAGACCUUCGGGUCUAGUGGCGCACGGGUGCGUAACGCGUGGGAACCUGCCCUUAGGUUCGGAAUAACUCCCCGAAAGGGGUGCUAAUACCGGAUAAUGUCUUCGGACCAAAGAUUUAUCGCCUUUGGAUGGGCCCGCGUUGGAUUAGCUAGUUGGUAGGGUAAAAGCCUACCAAGGCGACGAUCCAUAGCUGGUCUGAGAGGAUGAUCAGCCACACUGGGACUGAGACACGGCCCAGACCCCGAGGGGGGGCAGCGGGGGGGAAUAGUGAACAAUGGGGGAAAGCCUGAUCCAGCAAUGCCGGGUGAGGGAUGAAGGCCUGAGGGUGGUAAAGCUCUUUUACCGGGGAUGAUAAUGACAGUACGGGGAAAAAAAGCUCGGCCAAACCCCGUC